AAACAGUCAUGUGGACCUAGCCUGAGGUAGUAGCCAUAGAUGUCAGUGGCAAGACAGAAGAUUCAGUCUCUAAACAAAACCAUCAACUCUCAGAAAGAAGAGUCUAUGUCCCUGUACACAGAAUCUGGCUUGACUUUGCGACUUGCUUUCACCAAUCAAAUGCAGAAGAAGUGAAGUCUGGUCCUCAGGAGGUUUUGUACUCCUCUGCUGACUCUCCUGGGAUGCUAAAAACGCCAUGAGUCCUAGUUACGACUAACUUACAUGGCCUAGUCACCUCCAUUGUCCAAGCCAAUAGGUACCCAGCCAUCACACCUAGAGUGAGGCCAUUCCAAUCUCCAGCUGAUCUGCUGUGGAUGAGCAUGGCCAAGAUCAACUGAGCUUGGCUCAGAUGAGCAAGACUCCCUGGAUAACCUACAAUCUUGUUGGGCCAAGAAGACAUAUGUGCAUAGAAAUCUUUGAACUUUGCUGAUAAGAGAAAGCCUAGAAUUCCAAGCCAACUCCUUCAUUGAAUAGAUGAGGAACAUAAAGCCAAGAGAAAAUGAUAGGCUUGAC
rnacentral:lncRNA from 10 species